rfam:Aedes aegypti strain Liverpool supercont1.282 genomic scaffold, whole genome shotgun sequence.
CCUCUCAUGGCGUAGUGGUUAAUGCGCCCCAACUAGAGAUCGGGGAGUUGUGAGUUCGAUUCUCACUGAGAAGA